rnacentral:lncRNA from 1 species
UCUUCUAUCAGCAGAGCACCUUGUUAUCCUUUGUGACUGACGUGGCACUGCAGCGUCACAGAGUCCUGGUCUCCAGCACACUCAAUACAGACAUUCAGCACAACCGUGAGAGUUCUCCCCAGAGAGGCGUUCCUUCAGGCACCCGUGAGGCACAGUUCUCCCAAAUCUGGCAAAAGAAACGGAGACCACAAUUGCCCCGAGCGCCUCAUAUGCAAGACAAGAAAGGAAAAGGCUGGGGAAGGAUAAUCCCUACAACUGCAGUACUGAAAGGACAUGGAGAUUAACCAACUUGCUUGGGGUUUCACAAGCAGUCGGUGGCGAAGGCAAGAAUGAAACCAGAAUCCUCCAAGUCCUGUGCUAGUGCCCUUACCACAGGCCUUUCCUCUCUGCCUCUAAUGGAGUGUCUUCACCUUUCAAGAGCAAAGCAGGGAAAGUGCCAGUGCUGCUUUGUUCCCUUCCUGCAGCACAGGCAGAAAAUAAGAGUUACAGCACAACCAUGUGGGACUGAAAACAGAGCACUUGGAGCAGCAGUGUCAAUGGCAGGGAUUAAUGAUUGAUCACGGACCUUCACCAUGAAUCUCCAGGCUUCUGUCAGCCA